UAGUUGAUCAAAAAAUUUUCA
ensembl:piRNA 21ur-91 ncRNA